rnacentral:rRNA from 1 species
UGUAAGCGUAUACCAAAGUUGUUGCAGUUAAAACGCUCGUAGUCGGAAUUUGGCAGUUCCGGAAGUGUGCACGUCGUGUGCGCACUUUGCGGGGACUGCUUUUGUGGUCUUGCGUAGGAUGAGGCACUUUCAUUAGUGAACGUCCUCACGCAACCACUCUUUACUGUGAGAAAAUCAGAGUGCUCAAAGCAGGCAUUUGCCGUGAAUGUAUUAGCAUGGAAUAAUAGAAUAGGACUCGGUUCUAUUUUGUUGGUUUGUUGGGACUGAGUAAUGAUUAAGAGGGACAGUUGGGGGCAUUUGUAUUCCGGCGCUAGAGGUGAAAUUCUUAGAUUGCCGGAAGACAAACUGCUGCGAAAGCGUCUGCCAAGGAUGUUUUCAUUGAC